ensembl:lncRNA
GUUCUCAUUACUGGCAGCUGCCUGCACUGGUAUUGGGAAUAAAUAUUUAUUGUUUGUUUACACUUAGAAUUCGAUUCUCUUGAUUCUUUUGGUCUAAACCAAAAAUAAAACGAUAGGCCUACAUUUAGUCCUGGUUCACCUGUUAUUUUUUACAAGUUUAUAAAACAGACAAAUGAAGAUCUGCUGCAAGGAAACGGCGGUUCGACAUCUGUACUGAACUGUAUUGGGCAACAUACCUCCUAUAACAGGAAGAACCAGGAAUCGAAUGGACCAUGAUCAGUAAAAAUUUACAUGAAGAAUGGAAUGCAUCACAUUAUUCAUGCGAGAAAUCAGAGCUCGUCACGCCGCAUGGACACCACCACCGCCGGUGAAAACGCUGCAUGCUAAACUGUCUCUCAAUCCCUCGCUCUGUCACAGACUGUCACAUUCAGGAAAACAGGUCUAUAACACGUGUGAAGAUGAGAAGAUGAGCGUUCAAGCCAACAUGAAAUCCACGAUUAUCUGACAGGCAGGCCACAGUUUCUGAGAUUACAGGGUUGUGUGUUUGAACGUCUGAUAAGUAACAUCGAGGACCCCCAGGGAACUGUACUAUCUCCCUAUCUGAACUUGAAGCUCAUUACACUCAUAUAUUUUAGACUUGUAAAAUAAUAAUAAUAAUAA